rnacentral:sRNA from 1 species
UGACCGCCUUCUGAAAGAAGGCCGAGGCCAUACGGACAGCCGGGUCGAAUGCCGA